GGUGCGAAGCCGAAUUAGGGUCCAAACAUGCGCAGCAUACAACGACUAAAUAGUCGAGACCAGAAACUGGACACAUGAACCAAACCAGUGGUCAAGCAGCACUCCAAAUAACCAUGAACCAAAACCAGGGGCCAAGCAGUUCAGUCCAGGGACCAGCUGGCCACGGUCAGGAAGAGAAUCCCCAAACAAGCUGAGAAGCCAGGGCUGCCAUGAGGAGUGGAGUGCAAUGGCAGAGAGGGGUCCAGGAAUGGACCUGGGACAAUUCCUAAGCUCAUUGAGUAGCCAGCCACUUCUGACUUCACUUUCUAGUGUCAAAUCAGACUUUUCUCUCCAGCCAGGGGGGCGCUGUUUUUGCCUUCCUUUCCUCUUAUGCCCUGCAGUUACUCGCUUACACCACUAGGUGGCGACUCGGCUUGGAGGAGUUAAAAGCCUGAGGCUAUUGACUGGGAGCUGCGUGCUGAAAUGGGCAAGCGCAGUACAAGCGUUUCUCAUUUAAACUUCAGACAUCUCUGAGUAGUUAGUGCUAUUAUUAUCCCUAUUUUACUGAUGGAAAAGACUGAGGCUUAGCAAGUUUUAAGAGCUUUGCCUAAAGCUGCUCAUCCAAUAGGGGGCUCUCUUAACACAAUGCUUCUGAGUAAAUUUGGGGUUGGCAGAAGCUAAACGGUGACCAUGGUGAAUGCCGGACAGUGACAGCGUUCUCAGGGGAACACAUACAUGGAAAAAAGUCAUUAGUAGUUCUUGGUGCACACUGUGGAGCCCUUCCUGUGUCUCAGGUGCCAGAAUAAUGUUUUACAAACACGAUUUAGUUUAACCCUCAAAUAACCCGAGAGAUCAGACUGCUGUUAUUCUCAUUGUGUAGAUGAGUUCGCUGGGGCUCAGAGAGGUUAGAUAACUUGCUGUGUAGGUGCAUCUGAGUAGGCGACAGCCCCAAGGUCAAAAGCAGAGAUUGCUUGUACUUCAAGUUCCGAGUGGGAACUUGGGGGGGGGGGGAGUCUAGGUCCUGGUGCCCUGGGGGGAAGUCGGUUCUCAGGAGGCAGAAUCCCGGCCCUCUCACAACAGGAAGCUGUCAGAAUUUUGACUCUAAGUCCCAGAGAAUCCUAAUGUGCACCCAGGGCUGAGACCCACUGACCUGGAUCAAUGCUCCUGGUCAAUGCUGUUCACACUGCAACGUGCU
rnacentral:lncRNA from 1 species